AAUUUUAAAUCAAUUAUUUUUUUGUGAUACCUAGCUACUGUUUUUUUUAGCGUGUUUACUUUCGUGGCCAACCAAAAUAGGUGACAAAAAAUCGGAAAAAAUUGACGUCGCUUGGCAGUUUCUUAAUAAAUUAAUGAUAAAAACCUGCUCAUUCAGUUCGAAAGUGCCCGCGGCCUGAUCUGUUUGAAUAGAAGCGCUGCCGUGGAUGCAACUUUGACGCGAGUGAGAAAACCUCCGCUCGGCCACCGGGAAAACCGUUGCUGCUUCAGUCAACCAGAAACAACCGGAAUUGUAAAAGAUGACCGAAAACGGACCAGUCGAACCUGCGGCCACUACCAGAGAUGUGAAAAACAUCGAAACGCGAUUGAGGAUCGUAAACGAGACUUGCAGCAGCAAGAUUGAUGCGAGAGAAGCUAAAAUACCGUGAAGAGCCGAAACAAGCAUUUAGUGAAUGUAUUUUAAUUAUUAAGUUCAAGAACAUAUUAGUGUAUAAAAAAGUGUUCAAAGUU
rnacentral:lncRNA from 1 species